AAGGUGGGGGGGGGGUGCUAAUACAUGCAAGUCGAACGCUUUGUGGUUCAACUGAUUUGAAGAGCUUGCUCAGAUAUGACGAUGGACAUUGCAAAGAGUGGCGAACGGGUGAGUAACACGUGGGAAACCUACCUCUUAGCAGGGGAUAACAUUUGGAAACAGAUGCUAAUACCGUAUAACAAUGACAACCGCAUGGUUGUUAUUUAAAAGAUGGUUCUGCUAUCACUAAGAGAUGGUCCCGCGGUGCAUUAGCUGGUUGGUAAGGUAAUGGCUUACCAAGGCGAUGAUGCAUAGCCGAGUUGAGAGACUGAUCGGCCACAAUGGGACUGAGACACGGCCCAUACUCCUACGGGAGGCAGCAGUAGGGAAUCUUCCACAAUGGGCGAAAGCCUGAUGGAGCAACGCCGCGUGUGUGAUGAAGGGUUUCGGCUCGUAAAACACUGUUGUAAGAGAAGAAUGACAUUGAGAGUAACUGUUCAAUGUGUGACGGUAUCUUACCAGAAAGGAACGGCUAAAUACGUGCCAGCAGCCGCGGUAAUACGUAUGUUCCAAGCGUUAUCCGGAUUUAUUGGGCGUAAAGCGAGCGCAGACGGUUAUUUAAGUCUGAAGUGAAAGCCCUCAGCUCAACUGAGGAAUUGCUUUGGAAACUGGAUGACUUGAGUGCAGUAGAGGAAAGUGGAACUCCAUGUGUAGCGGUGAAAUGCGUAGAUAUAUGGAAGAACACCAGUGGCGAAGGCGGCUUUCUGGACUGUAACUGACGUUGAGGCUCGAAAGUGUGGGUAGCAAACAGGAUUAGAUACCCUGGUAGUCCACACCGUAAACGAUGAGUGCUAGGUGUUUGAGGGUUUCCGCCCUUAAGUGCCGCAGCUAACGCAUUAAGCACUCCGCCUGGGGAGUACGACCGCAAGGUUGAAACUCAAAGGAAUUGACGGGGACCCGCACAAGCGGUGGAGCAUGUGGUUUAAUUCGAAGCAACGCGAAGAACCUUACCAGGUCUUGACAUCCCUUGACAACUCCAGAGAUGGAGCGUUCCCUUCGGGGACAAGGUGACAGGUGGUGCAUGGUUGUCGUCAGCUCGUGUCGUGAGAUGUUGGGUUAAGUCCCGCAACGAGCGCAACCCUUAUUACUAGUUGCCAGCAUUCAGUUGGGCACUCUAGUGAGACUGCCGGUGACAAACCGGAGGAAGGUGGGGAUGACGUCAAAUCAUCAUGCCCCUUAUGACCUGGGCUACACACGUGCUACAAUGGCGUAUACAACGAGUUGCCAACCCGCGAGGGUGAGCUAAUCUCUUAAAGUACGUCUCAGUUCGGAUUGUAGGCUGCAACUCGCCUACAUGAAGUCGGAAUCGCUAGUAAUCGCGGAUCAGCACGCCGCGGUGAAUACGUUCCCGGGUCUUGUACACACCGCCCGUCACACCAUGAGAGUUUGUAACACCCAAAGCCGGUGGGGUAACCUUCGGGAGCCAGCCGUCUAAGGUGGACCAGAAGAUG
rnacentral:rRNA from 1 species